rnacentral:rRNA from 1 species
GAUGAACGCUGGCGGCGUGCCUAAUACAUGCAAGUCGAGCGAACAGACGAGGAGCUUGCUCCUCUGACGUUAGCGGCGGACGGGUGAGUAACACGUGGAUAACCUACCUAUAAGACUGGGAUAACUUCGGGAAACCGGAGCUAAUACCGGAUAAUAUAUUGAACCGCAUGGUUCAAUAGUGAAAGACGGUUUUGCUGUCACUUAUAGAUGGAUCCGCGCCGCAUUAGCUAGUUGGUAAGGUAACGGCUUACCAAGGCAACGAUGCGUAGCCGACCUAAGAGGGUGAGCGGCCACAAUGGAACUGAGACACGGUCCAGACUCCUACGGGAGGCAGCAGUAGGGAAUCUUCCGCAAUGGGCGAAAGCCUGACGGAGCAACGCCGCGUGAGUGAUGAAGGUCUUCGGAUCGUAAAACUCUGUUAUUAGGGAAGAACAAAUGUGUAAGUAACUAUGCACGUCUUGACGGUACCUAAUCAGAAAGCCACGGCUAACUACGUGCCAGCAGCCACAGUAA